rnacentral:misc_RNA from 1 species
GUGACACGGCGUUCCGGUCGGCUGUGUCAGAUCUACUUCCUUGUGCGACGACUAGCCUAACGCGAUCACCUGGAGUCAAAUAUGUCGUACAAAUUGUGAUAACCACGGCAUCAUGACUGAUAAUAUUGAGGAGUGUUUGAAAAAGUUUAUUUUCCAUGUUGAUAAUUUAGGAAAAGAGGACGAACCGGGCGGUGAUGGGUUCUGGAGAGAGUUUAAGGAGUUGAGGGAGAUCCAGAUCGCCAACAAGAGUGAGAAUAAAUAUCCGUCUGAGGAGGGAAAGAAGGAAUGCAACAUCAAGAAGAACCGAUACAAAGACAUCCUGCCAUAUGACUACCACCGUGUUGUUCUGUCAAAGCAAGAUGGAGCAGAAGGAUCUGACUACAUCAAUGCCAGCUUCAUAAAGGAUGUUAACGGGAAGAAUGGCUACAUCGCUUCCCAGGGCCCGCUCCCACACACUGUCAAUGACUUCUGGCGUAUGUUGUGGGAGUACAAGGUGGAGAUCGUGUUCAUGGUGUGUCGGGAAGAGGAAUCAGGAAGGCCAAAAUGUGAGCGCUACUGGGAUACGGAGGGCGAGGCCAAAAUGUUUGGGCAACUGGAAGUCACUGUGGAGUCUGAAAAGGUGCUGUUUCCCGACUUUGUGGAGCGUAUCCUGCGUGUGAACUGCGGUGGUGAGAAGCAUGUCGUGAAGCAGUUCCACUACACAGGGUGGCCAGACCAUGGGGUACCGCACCACAGUCGCGAGAUCUACAAGAUGGUGGGCAAGAUGAGGGAGGCGAGACGGUUGCUUGAGAUACCCAUCGUCAUACACUGCAGUGCUGGCUGUGGACGGACCGGGACUAUAUGUGCUGUCGACUAUGCCUGGACAAUGUUGGAUCAAAAUAAAGUAUCCCAUGGCUUUAGCUUGUAUGAAGUUAUCAAACACAUCCGACAGCAGCGCCAAUCUAUGGUACAGACUCCGGACCAGUACGAGUUUGCCCACCUGGUUGUGCAGAGUCUGUGUGAGGACUGGAUCAACCUCUUCCAGGAGCAUGACUACUGCAAUACAGAUUUAUUAGCACCAGCACCAGAUGAUGAUGAGAUAUACUAUAACACACCCGGACAGCUGUCAAGCACACCUUCCCCACCUUCCACACCUUCCACACCAACUCACACAGAAGGGCCACGAAGACCUCACCCUUUGCCUCGACCAACACUGGAAGCAAGAGAUGGCGGAGACAAAUAUGAAAAUGUUGUUAUUCGCGCCCCUUCAGUCAAGGGCCCCAAAAAGCCAUUGCGGGCUGUUUCGGACUCCGGCCAGGCAUAUGAGAACCAAAAACCAUCUGGUGUGUCCAAAACGACAUCAGCGCCACUACCCUUGAAGCAGACUUCCCCAAUGACCCUGAAUAAACAGCCAAGAUCACAGGCUCCGGUUGCACCCACAGCAGGACCCAGCAGUUCUGGUAACACCACCCUACCAAGAGCAGGACAUAGUACUAUAAUUGACACUGGCACUAAAAUCGCAACUAAAAAAACAUUUGCACCACCACCACCUAAAAACCAAGUAAAUGCUCACAAGGCAGGUGUCCUGAACUUUGGCCAAGUUGGUGGUCAGACACCAGUUCCGGUCACCUCAACCAAGAAGCCUGGUGAGGUUACAAAUGGGCAGUCUGAUAUGUAUGGUGAGGUUCUAAAGAAUCCAACUACUGGUAAACUUGGGAGCUACCCGGAUGUAUCUCGCACGGGUCUGGAACAAGGAAAGAAGAAGAGAGGAGGCGCUGUGAAGAAAGCGAUGCAUAAAGCUGAACCCGUCCAGAAUUAUGAAAACUUUCCCGUGCCAGGAAGCCACAAGGAUGCAUACGAGAACUUUCCCCCGUUAAUUACGCAAGAGCAUGCAACAACAGGCCCAGAGAGCCCCACUUAUGACUUUGCCCCAGAGUUGCCAUCUCGAGGGUACGAGAAGGAGGAGGCAAUUACAACACUAUCUCCACCACCAGCCUCUGGAUUCGGGACAGUCAGUGCAUUAGGUGGGGCUGUCCCCUCUGCACGAUCAAGACUUGACAGUUCUGGAGCAGCAGCAGCAGCAUCAGCAUCAUCAAGGACUAUCGAAACAACAUCUUCCAGCAGUCCUAUGACCCGAAGUGUGGCCAGCAGCAUGGACAGCGUCUACUCGGAGAUCUCAAACGUACAGGAGUCACCAAGAAGGACAGAAGGUCCUUCAGUUAGUCGAGCACCCCCUGGGAAUCACCAGCAACUCCAAUUUCAAAAUCACAAUUCAGCUGGUACCAAUUCUCGGAAUCCGUUUGGGGUAAUGAAGGAUAUAUUUCAUAUUCGAAAUCAACGACCAGCAGUGCAAGUGGUGCAAGGUAUACCAGGCGUGUAUAGAUUCAGAGGCCAAGAUGUAGGUUUUGACCAUCGUCCACAAAAACCGAAAGGCAAGAAGGAGGAACCCAGAUACUGGAAGACCUACAUGUAGUGGCGCCGUCGCGGCAUGUGGCGGCAGAACACUCUGUCACCACCAUAGCUGUGCCUGGUGAAUGUCACCCUCUGGACUCCCUGGACUCUCACAGACUUCCUCAGCAGACUCCUCUCCCACAGACUCCCCUGGUGGACUUCUUCUCUCCCACAGACUCCCCAGAUGGACACCCUCAAUCCCACAAACUCCACAGGUGGACACCCUCUCUCCCACAGACUCCCCAGGUGGACACCCUCUCUCCCACACUCCCCAGGUGGACACCCUCUCUCCCACAGACUCCCCUGGCAGACUUCUUCUCUCCAACACUCCCCAGAUGGACACCCUCAAUCCCACAAACUCACUUCACUCUCAGACACCCCCAUUUAUUGUGCCACCAUCAUAGCUGUAUCAGAUACAAACCUGAACUUGGCAUAAAAUAUACAUCGUACAAAAUGAAAACAAGAUCUAACAGUUUUGAGGAAACGUACCUGAAAGUUUCCGAACAUAAAGGGGACUAUGUUGGGAUCAAUAGGCAGUCCAUGCAGGUUUAGUUCACGUCGUUCAAACACAGCUUCCACAAAUUAAACAAUGUACAUCAGUCUGGCAGUUACCCUAUGUACACAUAAAAUGUUUCACACAAGCCACUAAUCACAACGUCAGCCCUAGACUGGAUGUAGGCACCAGAGUCCCACUUUGAACCUUACACUUUCAUCUGCUUAUAGUUUUACAUACUCACCAACAAGAGGUACAGAGAUGUGCCAUCAUACAGGGAUUUUUAUGUACAAAUUAAUUUGGAAUUCCGAUUCUGUUGUCAGGGACUGUGCUAUGCUCACAGGGGUCCUGAAAAUUUAAAAUCCCAAUCGGACAUUUGCAUUUAGGCCACGCCCCCUUUAAAUAGCGUAUCUUAAUCUCUGCAAAUAAAACAAUGCCUUUGAGAGCAGGAAGUACAUUUUAAAUGGUAAAAUCAUCAUGUCUAGUGAUGUUUUAUAUCAAAUUUCAUACUUUUAUUGACCAAGUUUGUUAUGUCUGUUUAUUCACCUGAAGUUGUUGAAGGGAUACGAUAAAACUCAUCAAUUAUUUGGACCCUGAAGGUAGCAUUGUUUGUUUUUAAAAUGUCCGGACAGAAAAAUUUAUAUGUCCGGUAAGCAGUAUUUUAAAUCGGACAUUUGAGAUUCCCAAUCGGACAUGUCCGGCGCAUAUGACCGUUUCCGGACCCCUGUAUGCUCACAAGGAGCAUGUUUUCAUCAAGUUGAUGUGAGCAACUAACACAGAUUUUUUUUUAAAACCAUUAUUACAUUGACAAGGAGUUGUUGAACAAAGAAUUUUCUAAUCUGACAUUUUUUGUGUUAAAGCAUUGGAACAUAAAUUCAUACAUAUCAGAAAUGUUUUAUCCAAAUAUAUAUAUAUAUAUUUUAAUUGUAUGAUUUAUAAUAAAGUUGUUUUUUUUAUAUUGUGUAUAAAUUAUCUGUGUAAAUGUUUAACCAGUGUUAACAGCAUUCAAACCACCUCGUAUUGUAAAGCACCUAUGUCUUCAAGCAGGUCUGUAUGGAUCAGUAACAAUGUAUGUUGAUAAUACCAGACCAGUUCAUGUUUUUCUUAUUGAGACAAUCUUAUCUAAAUUGUGCAAAAGUUAAAAAAUAAAUUAAAAUCAUGUUUAUUGGAAUAUUUCUUUUGUAUUUGUCUUCUUUAGAAUUUAACCUAAAAUCAACCAUAACAUCACAUAUAUUUUUCUUAAUUGCUUCAUUGCACAUUAAUAGAAUAGGAAAAACUAGAAAAUUAAUUGGUAUGGCCUAAUACAUUCUCUGUAUAGCUUGGCCUGCACUCCGGUUCAGUUCUCCACAUGGGUACAAUAUGUGAAGCCCAUUUCUAGCAUCCCCCAAUAAAGUUGGAAUAUUACUAAUAGUGGUAUAAAACUGUUCUCACCCCUCACUCACUCACUCACUCACACACACACACACACACACACACACACACACACACACUUGCCCUGCUCUCAUGGACAUAAGACAAAGAUGGCUGUUUGAGGUAUUUUAUCUGUACAGCAUUUGGAUGUUCGAACAUGGAUACUUUUCAAAGAACUUCUUUAAGAGACUGACCAUUUAAUUACCUUGGCAGAUGGCCUGGGAUAAGAGAUGGGAUAUUUUUUCAGUUACUGCUUUGAAAACACAAUUUCUUCCUGUUAAAAGAUCUGAACAAUUUCCUUGUUUUUCCCCAACACAUACUAUUUCAGGACAUCAAGUAAAAAUGUUAUUUUUGUGAAAAAUGUGAGGACAUUAUUUUUUUUCUCAUGUCUUUCUGGAACAAAUAAUAUUUUCCCCAAAAGAGUCCCUUCUACCCCUCUGUCCUUGAACAUCAAUGGUCGGCCCCUAAGCACUGAUACCCAGGGGUACUUCAUUAUAUUCCGAACUACUCGGUAUAUGGAAUGCCUGCUUCCAACCAUGACAGUGAUAGAUACUCUUCAUCUUUUUGUUGAAACUUGAUGACAUAUGCUUUAAAAAGUAACUUGUGAGUGCUUGUAAAUAAUUGAUAAUACAUACUUUGUUUUAAGAAGUUGUAAAUAUUGAAAUAGUUAUUUUUACUGAUUUUCCAGAGAUUUAUCUGAUUAUUGUGAAGAGGUUUUUUGUUGAUAUUGAAUAACUUAGGAUGCACCAACUAUUAUUACCUUGGUGUGUGGCGUGAUAGUAAUGUCAAUGUGUCUGCAAAUACAGAUAUUGGGAUAUUCAUGACACCAAGAAUACAUGUGACAGUUCACUGAUAUGUCAGGUGUUGUUCAACUCCACUGACGUCACCCCAUUUGGAAAGUGUACACAGCUCAGAGAAUAAUUGACUUGUGUACUAUUUAUGUAAAACAUUCUGGUCUUUGAAAGACAUUUAGAAGUGAUACACAUAAGGAAGAGAAUUUAUGGAUGUCAACUUCUUAAGUAUGAGGAACACAAUGUUUCGGAGUAUAUGCUUACUCCUUCAUCAGGUAAACUGAAUGAAUGAAUGAGUAAGCAUAUACUCCGAAACGUUGAGUGAUGCAGCAAUGAUAUAACUUGGUGUAAAACAACAUUCACUCAUUUAUUGAAAAUGAUAUGCUCCAAGAAGAGAGAGAUUUUCAAGAAAAUAGGACCUAUUCUUACUGAACACUUUGAAUUAAAUGACAGAUCUUUGUUACGAGAUAAUAUAUAUAAGUACAGCUAUUGUUACCAUAAAUAUUUUAUAUUGCAAACAAUAUAAGCCGUAUACACCAAAUCUGCCGAUACAGCAAUUUCAGCUUCAGUUCUGACCUGUUUGUAUGCCAUGAUUGUACAGCCUACAAGAUAUCCUUAUGAUGUAACAUUUUGUAUAGUUUGUGCUGUUAUUUUGUUGUUGAUGUUUAUCUUGUUUUCUACACAAUGUUAUCCAAACUUACAUCAUUCCAGUACUGUAUUUAUCACACAGAUAUUUACUGCUAAUGCAACAGUUCCAUUGUUAAGCCACCUGUAGUUAACCUUGACCUUUAAUUGGUACCAUUAAAUAUGUAUAGAGACAUAGAAGGGUUCCAAGAUUGGUGCCAAUGUUGGACAUAAAUGUUGGACGUGUAGCUGGUAUUAUAUUACCAUAUGCUAGAUAAGUUUAUUUUCUUUUUUACAAGCUUACCUGACGUUUUUGAAAAGUAAAUUAAGGAUAAAUUAAGAAGAAUUUUGGUUUGGUGUUAAGAUUUUUUAUUUAACGGGGUUUCUGUCAGAAAAUUGUCCUCAAAUUUGCCCCAAUACUUUUUUAUUUGACUUCCUGCAUUUCACAUAUUGACAAAUCUGUGGAACCAGAUAUUAGAUUGUAUUGGUCAGUUAUGGUAUUUAUAAAGGCAAAACAAGAUAAUAAUCAGUGAGUGCUGCAUAGCACGAUAUAUCUACUUACACUGGUCCAUAAUUUUGUGCAGGUGUGUCAAAUUAUAAAAUGACCACCUGAACCUUUAUUAUUGGAGGCAGCAACACAUACCGUCUUACCCAACUUAUCAACUCAUUAGACUGUAUGCUAUGUGGGGCCAUGAAUUAACCUCAUCAAAAGCGAUAUGUCGAGUUAAUGUACUUUUAGAUCUUGAAGUUAUUGAAAAUUCAUUGGCGCCAUUCUGCAAAGCCAUGUUACCGCCAGGACGAUUGCAGCUCCCAUAUUUUAACAGACGUGCAUCAAUCAUAGGGCUAAGAUUGAUCUGUUGAAUUGGUCCCUGGGAUGUUGAUAAGUGAAAUACCUCUAACUCAACAUAUUGUGUAAUACAAUAUGACUUUUUUUAUACUAACAGAACAAUUAUUAUGUAUUUACAUUCAAUGGUCCCCAGAGCUUUUAUUCCAUCAGGUUGCAUGCACUUGGUUAAUAAAGAUCAGAAAAGGGA